rnacentral:rRNA from 1 species
GGAUUAGGCAUGCAAGUCGAGCGGAUGAGUGGAGCUUGCUCCAUGAUUCAGCGGCGGACGGGUGAGUAAUGCCUAGGAAUCUGCCUGGUAGUGGGGGACAACGUUUCGAAAGGAACGCUAAUACCGCAUACGUCCUACGGGAGAAAGUGGGGGAUCUUCGGACCUCACGCUAUCAGAUGAGCCUAGGUCGGAUUAGCUAGUUGGCGAGGUAAAGGCUCACCAAGGCGACGAUCCGUAACUGGUCUGAGAGGAUGAUCAGUCACACUGGAACUGAGACACGGUCCAGACUCCUACGGGAGGCAGCAGUGGGGAAUAUUGGACAAUGGGCGAAAGCCUGAUCCAGCCAUGCCGCGUGUGUGAAGAAGGUCUUCGGAUUGUAAAGCACUUUAAGUUGGGAGGAAGGGCAGUAAGUUAAUACCUUGCUGUUUUGACGUUACCGACAGAAUAAGCACCGGCUAACUUCGUGCCAGCAGCCGCGGUAAUACGAAGGGUGCAAGCGUUAAUCGGAAUUACUGGGCGUAAAGCGCGCGUAGGUGGUUCGUUAAGUUGGAUGUGAAAGCCCCGGGCUCAACCUGGGAACUGCAUCCAAAACUGGCGAGCUAGAGUAUGGCAGAGGGUGGUGGAAUUUCCUGUGUAGCGGUGAAAUGCGUAGAUAUAGGAAGGAACACCAGUGGCGAAGGCGACCACCUGGGCUAAUACU